GACGAACGCUGGCGGCGUGCCUAAUACAUGCAAGUCGAACGCAGUGGGGACGGGUGAGUAACACGUGGGUAACCUCCCAUCAGAGGGGAUAACCCUUGGAAACAGGUGCUAAACCGAUACUGAUUGAUGUACCCGCGGUGCAUUAGCUAGGUGGUGAGGUAACGGCUAACCAAGGCCACGAUGCAUAGCCGGCCUGAGAGGGGGAUCGGCCAAACUGGGACUGAGACACGGCCAAGACGCCUACGGGAGGCAGCAGUAGGGAAUAUUCGGCAAUGGACGAAAGUCUGACCGAGCAACGCCGCGUGAGUGAAGAAGGUUUUCGGAUCGUAAAACUCUGUUGUUAGAGAAGCGGUAUCUAACCAGAAAGCCACGGCUAACUACGUGCCAGCCGCCGCGGUAAUAC
rnacentral:rRNA from 1 species